rnacentral:ncRNA from 1 species
CGUCGUGAGGCGGGGUCUGAAGGAAGCGUGAAGCAAAUCCAUGACCUGACGAACAGAAAUCCGAUACGAGGCCUACCCGGUUGGCGGAGCAAGCAAAGAAUUGCGAAGGCCAUAACCAUCAAGAACCGGGGUGGUAAAUCGGACAGGUGUGUGGUGAAGGCG